UGUAAGCGUAUACCAAAGUUGUUGCAGUUAAAACGCUCGUAGUCGGAAUUUGGCAGUUCCGGAUGUGUGCACGUCGUGUGCGCACUUCGCGGGGAUUGCUUUUGUGGUCUUGCGUAGGAUGAGGCACUUUUAUUAGUGAACGUCCUCACGCAACCACUUUUUACUGUGAGAAAAUCAGAGUGCUCAAAGCAGGCAAUUGCCGUGAAUGUAUUAGCAUGGAAUAAUAGAAUAGGACUUGGUUCUAUUUUGUUGGUUUGUUGGGACUGAGUAAUGAUUAAGAGGGACAGUUGGGGGCAUUUGUAUUUCGGUGCUAGAGGUGAAAUUCUUAGAUUACCGAAAGACAAACUGCUGCGAAAGCGUCUGCCAAGGAUGUUUUCAUUGA
rnacentral:rRNA from 1 species